AGCAGCCGCGGUAAUUCCAGCUCCAAUAGCGUAUAUUAAAGUUGCUGCAGUUAAAAAGCUCGUAGUUGAAUUUCGGGAUCAUCAUGUCGGUCGUGCCUCGGUACGUACUGGCAUUGUUGGUUUCUACCUUCUGACGAACCAUGAUGUCAUUUAUUUGGUGUCGUGGGAAAUCAGGACUGUUACUUUGAAAAAAUUAGAGUGUUUAAAGCAGGCUCACGCUUGAAUACAUUAGCAUGGAAUAAUGAAAUAGGACGUUUGAUUCUAUUUUGUUGGUUUCUAGGAUCGACGUAAUGAUUAAUAGGGAUAGUUGGGGGCAUUAGUAUUCAAUUGUCAGAGGUGAAAUUCUUGGAUUUAUUGAAGACUAACUACUGCGAAAGCAUUUGCCAAGGAUGUUUUCAUUAAUCAAGAACGAAAGUUAGGGGAUCGAAGACGAUCAGAUACCGUCGUAGUCUUAACCAUAAACUAUGCCGACUAGGGAUCGGAUGAUGUUAAUUUUUAAUGACUCAUUC
rnacentral:rRNA from 1 species